rnacentral:tRNA from 1 species
GCGGCUAUAGCUUAGUGGUAGAGUGUGUGCUUAGCAGGCACGAGGUACUGGGUUCAAUCCUCAGUGUCUCCU